rnacentral:miRNA from 1 species
UGUGUCUUGUUGGUGGAAGUGUGUCACUGGAGAUGGGCUUUGAGGUUUCAGAAGCUCAAGCCAGGCCAAGAGUCACUCUCUCUCUCUUCCUUAUGUCUGCUGAUCU